AUUGAACGCUGGCGGCAUGCCUUACACAUGCAAGUCGAACGGCAACACGGGUGCUUGCACCUGGUGGCGAGUGGCGAACGGGUGAGUAAUACAUCGGAACGUACCUUAUCGUGGGGGAUAACGCAGCGAAAGCUGUGAUAAUACCGCAUACGCCCUGAGGGGGCAAGCGGGGGAUCGCAAGACCUCGCGCGAUUAGAGCGGCCGAUGCCUGAUUAGCUUGUUGGUGGGGUAAAAGCCCAACAAGGCGACGAUCAGUAGCUGGUCUGAGAGGACGAUCAGCCACACUGGGACUGAGACACGGCCCAGACUCCUACGGGAGGCAGCAGUGGGGAAUUUUGGACAAUGGGGGCAACCCUGAUCCAGUAAUGCCGCGUGAGUGAAGAAGGCCUUCGGGUUGUAAAGCUCUUUUGUCAGGGAAGAAACACCGGCUCUAACACAGUCUGGGAAUGACGGUACCUGAAGAAUAAGCACCGGCUAACUACGUGCCAGCAGCCGCCGCGG
rnacentral:rRNA from 1 species